AGAGUUGGAUUUUGGCUCAGGACGAACGCUGGCGGCGUGCUUAACACAUGCAAGUCGAACGGAGGUUACGAGGAAGCUUGCGAAUUGUAACCUUAGUGGCGGACGGGUGAGUAACGCGUGGAUAAUCUGCCUUUAAGCUGGGAAUAACUCACCGAAAGGUGGGCUAAUACCCGAUAAUGCUAUGGGACUUCGGUUUUAUAGCCAAAGAGAGCCUCUACAUGUAAGCCUUCACUUAAAGAUGAGUCCGCGUACCAUUAGCUAGUUGGAGGUGUAAAGGACCACCAAGGCGACGAUGGGUAGCCGGCCUGAGAGGGUGGACGGCCACACUGGAACUGAGACACGGUCCAGACUCCUACGGGAGGCAGCAGUGGGGAAUCUUCCGCAAUGGGCGAAAGCCUGACGGAGCAACGCCGCGUGAGUGAUUAAGGCCUUCGGGUUGUAAAACUCUGUCAUCAGGGAAGAAAAUAAUGACGGUACCUGAGGAGGAAGCCCCGGCUAACUACGUGCCAGCAGCCGCGGUAAAACGUAGGGGGCGAGCGUUGUCCGGAAUUACUGGGCGUAAAGGGCGCGUAGGCGGUUGUCCAAGUCAGAGGUGAAAACUCUGGGCUCAACUCAGAGCGUGCCUCUGAAACUGGGCGACUUGAGGGCAGGAGAGGGGAGUGGAAUUCCCAGUGUAGCGGUGAAAUGCGUAGAUAUUGGGAGGAACACCAGUGGCGAAGGCGACUCUCUGGCCUGUUUCUGACGCUGAGGCGCGAAAGCGUGGGGAGCGAACGGGAUUAGAUACCCCGGUAGUCCACGCCGUAAACGAUGGGUGCUAGGUGUAGGAGGUAUCGACCCCUUCUGUGCCGUAGCUAACGCAAUAAGCACCCCGCCUGGGGAGUACGGCCGCAAGGUUGAAACUCAAAGGAAUUGACGGGGGCCCGCACAAGCGGUGGAGCAUGUGGUUUAAUUCGACGCAACGCGAAGAACCUUACCAGGGUUUGACAUCCCCUGACAGCUAUUGAAAGGUAGAAUUCUAUCUACGGAUAGACAGGGAGACAGGUGGUGCAUGGUUGUCGUCAGCUCGUGUCGUGAGAUGUUGGGUUAAGUCCCGCAACGAGCGCAACCCCUACGUUUAGUUGCUAACGUGUGAAGGCGAGCACUCUAGACGAACUGCCGUUGACAAAACGGAGGAAGGUGGGGAUGACGUCAAAUCAUCAUGCCCCUUAUAUUCUGGGCCACACACGUGCUACAAUGGCCGGUACAGAUGGAAGCGAAGCCGCGAGGUGAAGCAAAUCCCAAAAAGCCGGUCUCAGUUCGGAUUGCAGGCUGCAACCCGCCUGCAUGAAGUCGGAAUCGCUAGUAAUCGCAGGUCAGCAUACUGCGGUGAAUACGUUCCCGGGCCUUGUACACACCGCCCGUCA
rnacentral:rRNA from 1 species